AUUUUAUUUUCAAGGGAAAUAAUUGUGGUCUGAGAGUAUUAUUUUGAAAAUCACAGUUGAGAUAUUUUUAUGUGUGCACCGGUACAGUUUUGCGGGGAAGCGAAAGUUGCCAUGGAAUUUUGUCUUCUUCUAAAAACAAGUGUCUGAUACAUGUAGUUGCAGUCUGUCUUUGGAAGCUGUAGAAAUAACAAGAAAGAGGCUGACAUAGUGUUUUGGUAGGGAAAAGUUUGAGAAUGUACAUGUACAGUUGUUUGACCUGUCUUACCCUGUGGCAGUCCAAGAAGAUGUUACCAUUAUGAAAAAUGCAGGAGAACUUGAAGACAAUGGUUAGUGCAGAAGGGACAUAAAAGUUAUGAAAAAGUAACAGAUAUAAAUAAGAAGUGCUACAAGUGUGUUGUCAUGUGAAAUGGAAUUUACCCCUGUGCUGCAAGAUGUAUAUUCAAGUGCAAGACAGCCAUGCACCAGCUGUAAACUGAGAUGGACCCAUAUAAUAAAUAUGUUGACUUUUCUAUGUAUUAUCAUCUGUACAGAAUGUGUUCAUGACAAGACUGUAUACAUAUAUUGUUAAAUCAUUUUUUAUUUCCAUUAUUGCAUGCAUGUAAGAAGCAAGCAUUUAACAAUUGCAUUCAUAGAAGUGUUAAAAUGUGAUCAAUCUAAUUUAAAGAAACACAUUUAAUUGGACUUUUUCAGUUUCAUAGUAUCUGUGGUGGAGACUGACCCAGUCAUUCAGCAACUUAUACUGUCUGCGCGUCAUUUCUUGUAUGUUAUAGUUUUCUUAAUAAUACAUUAAAUGUCAAAGUUAUGGUUAGAUGAACUCAUUCAUCACUUGUAGAUUAAUGUUAAAGCAGUUCAACAUUUUACCAUAAGUUAACUAUUAUUCUAUUUAACCAGAGUUGUCACAUAUUUUCAUAUAAAUAUUUGUAUAAUACAGUCUAAUCUAAUCUACAUAUAUAACAAAGUGCUCAGGGUGAGGUAUUGUGAUCGCUCACCGUCCGGCGUCCGUCCGUCCGUCUGUCCGUCCGUCGUCCGUCCACAUUUUCCUUUAAACAACAUCUCCUCCUAAACCAACAGGCCAAUUUUGAUGAAACUUCACAGGGAUGUUCCUUGGAUGGCCCCCUUUCAAAAUUGUUCAAAGAAUUGAAUUCCAUGCAGAACACUGGUUGCCAUUGCAACCGAAAGGAAAAACUUUAAAAAUCUUCUUCUCAAAAACUAGAAGCCCUAGAGCUUAGAUAUUUGGUGUGAAGCAUUGCCUAGUGGACCUCUACCAAGUUUGUUCAAAUCAUGACCCCGGGGUCAAAAUUGACCCCGCCCCAGGGGUCACUUGAUUUUACAUAAGAAAAUCUUAAAAAAUCUUCUUCUCAAAAACCAGAAGCCUUAGAGCUUAGAUAUUUGACAUGUAGCAUUGCCUAGUGGACCUCUACUUAAAUUGUUCAAAUCAUGGCCCCGGGGUCAAAAUUGACCCCGCCCCAGGGGUCACUUGAUUUUACAUAGGAAAAUCUUCAAAAAAUUCUAAAAAUAAACCGGAAGGCCUAGAGCUUAGAUAUUUCACAUGUAGCAUUGCCUAGUGGACCUCUACAAAAUUUGUUCAAAUCAUGGCCCCCAGGGUCAAAAUUGACCCCGCCCCAGGGGUCACUUGAUUUUACAUAGGAAAAUAUUUAAAAAAUCUUCUUCUCAAAAACCAGAAGUCCUAGAGCUUAGAUAUUUGACAUGUAGCAUUGCCUAGUGGACCUCUACUAAAGUUGUUCAAAUUAUGACCUGGGGGUCAAAAUUGACCCCACCCUAGGGGUCAGUUGACUUUACAUAGGAAAAUCUUCAAAAGUUUUCUAAAAAUAAACCAGAAGGCCUAGAGCUUAGAUAUUUCACAUGUAGCAUUACCUAAUGGACCUCUACAAAAUUUGUUCAUAUCAUGACUCCCUGGGUCAAAAUUGACCCCGCCCCAGGGGUCACUUGAUUUUACAUAGGAAAAUCUUCAAAAAUUUUCUAAAAAUAAACUAGAAGGCCUAGAGACUAGAUAUUUGACAUGUGGGAUUGCCUAGUGGACCUCUACAAAAUUUGUUCAAACCUUGUCCCCCGGGGUCAAAAUUGACUCCGCCCUAGGGGUCACUUGAUUUUACAUAGGAAAAUCUUAAAAAAAAAUUCUAAAAAUAAACCAGAAGGCCUAGAUCUUAGAUAUUUGACAUGUAGCAUUGCCUAUUAGACUUUUACAAAAUUAAUUUAAAUCAUGACCCCUGGGGUCAAAUUGACCCCGCCCCAUGGGGUUACUUGAUUGUACAUAGAAAAAUCUUCAAAAUUUUCUAAAAAUAAACCAGAAGAGCUUAGAUAUUUGACAUGUAGCAUUGCCUAGUGGACCUCUACAAAAAGUUUUCAAAUCUUGUUUUUAAAGUUACUUAAAGAAAAUUUCAACUAUAUUUUCUCAUAAUUAUUUUGAUUGAUUUCUAUUAUGAUCUUUUGACCUUGAAGACUUGUCCUUAAGUGCAAUGAUAACAGGUGAGCGAUAUAGGGCCAUCAUGGCCCUCUUGUUUAUAUAUUUUUUUCCAUCCAGGAGAAUAAAGAAAUAUACAUUUCAAAAUAUCUCAUCAUUCCAGAUAAGUACACUACAUAAUCAAGAUAAAAGAAAUAAGAACAAAAUAUGUUGGUGGAAUUUUAUUUUCAAACAUUUGAUAUACAGUCUUUGUAGUAUUUACUUCUUUAGAUAUGUUGGACUGAAAUGGGAAUAACAACAUACUUUAAAUUUUUGUAGUCAUAAGUUAAUAUGGGAAUUAUUAACUUAACUUAAAAAGAUUUUAUCUCACUGUUAUGCCAUCUGAGCUUUAAUAUUUUUCAACACUGUCAUUGGCAACAAGGCUCAAAAUUAUUUGUUGUGUAUACCUUGCAUUCAUGUGUGAUAAAUGCUUUUAUGGUAUUCUUUAAUAUAAUUUAUGCUUUUCAUCUUACCAUGGAUUAAUAAAUACAAAUUUAUUUGUCUGAAAAAUAAGGUAAAAAUACUGACUGAUUAAAUUGCAAUAUAAGAAAGCUUAUUUGAGAUAAAGGGAGGUAAUUCCAUAAAAAAUAUGUAGAAUGUAGAUGAUAAAUGUAAUGAAGGGAGGUAAUAAAAUAUUGUGAAGUUA